CGCACAUUGCGCCCUUUGGUAUUCCGAAGGGCAUGCCUGUUCGAGCGUCAUUACACCAAUCAAGCCUGGCUUGGUAUUGGGCCCCGGGGCGACCCGGACCUCAAUUUGACCGGCUGGAACGAUUGAAUCUCAGCGUUGUGACAUCAAUUCGCUGGCGAGACAAGCGUCCUGCGCCGUUAAACUCUUAUCAAGGUUGACCUCGGAUCAGGUAGGGAUACCCGCUGAACUUAA
rnacentral:misc_RNA from 1 species